AAUGGAGUGUCUGAAAAAGAAUUAUUUUGAUAGAAUAAAGCAUGUAAAUUUAUCUUACCUCCAUUA
rnacentral:tRNA from 1 species